UCUCUCUGCCCCUUUCCUCAUCUGAAAACAUUGCUGCAGACACUGCACACUACUUUUGAAAGAGUGCCAGUCCCUAAUGCAGGCCUUUGGCAGGGACAGGGAGAGAUAAAAGGGCCAGAGUAUAAAUUGCUAAAGAUUUUCUGUCCAAGAGGCAUACCAGAUACCUGAACUCUACCAAAGGAACCUCAAAGUCUCGUUUGACUUUUCUUGCAACAGGGGUAAAAUGCAUGUGAAGAAGGAAAACCAGAAGGUGUGAUGAAGGGACAGAAGGAAUUAGAGGUCUCCUGCAUGAAUAGGUGUCAGUCAUGGGAUCUCAGGGUCCAGAAAACAGACACAUACAGUUACUUUGAAAAUUGAAAUGGCUAACAGACUG